UAGCUCCUGGAUAUGUCUAGC
rnacentral:piRNA from 1 species